rnacentral:rRNA from 1 species
UACAGAGGUCCCCAAGCGUUUGUUCGGAUUCAUUGGGCGUAAAGGGUGCGUAGGCGGCGCGGUAAAUCGGGUGUGAAAUCUCGGGGCUUUAACUCCGAAACUGCAUUCGAUACUGCCGUGCUUGAGGACUGGAGAGGAGACUGGAAUUUACGGUGUAGCGGUGAAAUGCGUAGAUAUCGUAAGGAAGACCAGUGGCGAAGGCGGGGUCUCUGGACAGUUCCUGACGCUGAGGCACGAAGGCCAGGGGGAGCAAACGGG